rnacentral:rRNA from 1 species
GACGAACGCUGGCGGCGUGCUUAACACAUGCAAGUCGAACGGUGAAGCGCCUUCCUUUUUGGUGGGUGUGGAUGAGUGGCGAACGGGUGAGUAACACGUGAGUAACCUGCCCCCUUCUUCUGGAUAACCGCAUGAAAGUGUGGCUAAUACGGGAUAUUCUGGGUCUGUCGCAUGAUGGGUCUGGGAAAGAUAUUGUUUCGGUGGGGGAUGGGCUCGCGGCCUAUCAGCUUGUUGGUGGGGUGAUGGCCUACCAAGGCGGUGACGGGUAGCCGGCCUGAGAGGGUGGACGGUCACACUGGGACUGAGACACGGCCCAGACUCCUACGGGAGGCAGCAGUGGGGAAUAUUACACAAUGGGCGCAAGCCUGAUGCAGCGACGCCGCGUGAGGGAUGGAGGCCUGCGGGUUGUGAACCUCUUUCGCCAGUGAAGCAGGCCUGCCUCGUUUGUGGGUGGGUUGACGGUAGCUGGAUAAGAAGCGCCGGCUAACUACGUG